CGACGACAAAACAUAGAGGAGGCCAACAGCUGCAAGAGAACAAUGUUUUGGCUGUGAAAUAACUCGAAGGAGCGAGCGGCGGGAUUCAUUUGCUACGAGGUGGCCGUGAUCGUCAUGUACAACAUAUUUAAUCAUCUGUGCUGAAUGAACUUUGGCCUUUUGAAGACCCAAACAUGAGUAUUAUCCAGGACAAGCUUGGCAAUGAGUUUUUACGGAAUGGAGGCAUGGACCCCAACUUCACCCCCAGCAUGAUUAUGUUCAGCCAUUUACCUCCAGUCACCAGUUUCACACGGCUGACUUCGCAAACCAGCAUGGCGGAUAUGCCUCAGGAGAUGAUCCUAAAGAAAGAGCGUGACUCUCCUGACCAUGGUGGUGGUUUUCUCCACAGUAUGGGUAUCAAACAAGAGAAGUUCAACGAGUUGGACUAUCGCCUCCCAAUGUAUGCAACAGGAACCGGCACAGCAGGAGGAAAAAGCUCUGAUAUGCUGGACAUGUCUCUCAGCAACCACCAGAAUAUGCUUCUGCAUGAUCUAAGCCUUAGUAAUCAGUUCUCUGGCAGGCUGGGGAAAGACCCAAAAGAAUCUGGACCUAGAAGAGGGAGGAGAGCAAAUGGAGAAGGACCAGAGGGCAGAGAUAGAAGGAAACAAGGGGAUGCUGCAAAGUCAGUCAUGCUUGAUGGGGAUGUUGGGCCUUUCUCUCCUAACUCUAAACCACACAUAUGUGAGCAUUGCAAUGCAGCCUUCCGCAGUUCCUAUCACCUGCGCAGACAUGUGCUCAUUCACACAGGUGAGAGGCCUUUCAGGUGCAGUCAGUGUAAUAUGAGCUUCAUACAGAAGUAUUUGCUGCAACGGCAUGAGAAAAUCCACAGCGGGGAGAAACCAUUCAGCUGUGACCAGUGCAACAUGCGCUUUAUUCAGAAGUACCACAUGGAGAGACACAAAAGGACACACAGUGGAGAAAAGCCAUAUAAAUGCGACACCUGUCUACAGUAUUUCUCACGAACAGAUCGAUUACUGAAGCACAAGAGGACAUGUGGAGAAGCCAUAAAGAAAGGACUGGACCCAGGAAUGCUGGACCUUGGAGAUGAGGACAUGGGACAAGGCAGCUACCUACUCACUCAGGGAAACACCUGCGCCCCACCACGCAAGAAGGGCAAAUCCAAAAGUGGCAAUGAGGGAGGAGAGCGACGGAGGAAGAAAGGUGCGGCUGCGGGAGGAGGAGGACUCGGCCCACAGGACUAUACCAUGAACAUCCCCAGUGGAUCAGGGGCAACUUCUUCAGGGGGUCUCGCUGAGACAAGCAUGGACAACCAGCAUGUAUGCACACCCAAGCUUGCUUUUAAGAAAGGCGGUCGCAAGGGAAUUAAUAAGGGUCCAGUUUCUAUGGAGGAGGCCAACCAAGCCUCAGGUCAUCAUGAGCCGAAGCUGCUGACUCAGAAGCCAGGAAGUAUGGACAUGUCUGGAGCUGCAAGUAUGGACAGUCUAGGCAUCCUCCAAACCUCCAGUGGCCCCAAACAGGGUAGUACCAGCAGCAACUACGAUGAUGCAAUGCAGUUUUUGAAAAAGAGACGAUACCUGCAGGCCGUUAACAGCAAUGACUUCAGCUCAGUCCACCUUCCUCAGCCGACUGUCAUCCAGGGUGGCAUUGGAGAACCCACACUGGCCUUACUUGACACCUCACCUCUGGUAAGUGUUGACAAGCAUGACAAGUCAGGAAUCCCAGAUGAUGUGCUACAGAGCCUUCUGGACCACUACAGCCACAAAUCUGAUGGCUCUCAUCGUGAUGUGACAUUUGAUCUGCAAGAUCCACACCAUGUGCAAUUGCAACAGGCCUCCGCCGCCUCUGAUCUGGGCCAGGAUGAGGGAUCCCCCAAUGGCUCUGGAGACAAGAGUGGGUUGAUGAACGAGUACUCAAAGUUCUUGCUACAGACACUGGAGAGAACCAGCCUCAACAGCAGCUUCAUUUUAGGCCCAUCCGGGCCCUUCCCAGGCCUCCUGUCAUCAAGUAGCAGCACUGCUAGCACACUCUUCUCGGACAAGAACAUCUACACCACCUCCCCAUUGGAGUGUGCAUUCGGACAGCCCGUUUCUUCCCCUCUUGCUCCUCUCUCCUCCUCUUCCCUAACCAAGUCCCAUUUUGGAAUGCUGGUUGGGUCUCCAUCACCCUCUCAUGCCUCACCCUCCUCCCAGCAUGGCUUUCAUCUCGGUGGCCUGGAGCCUGCCACACACCAGCAGCUUACCCCAUCUCAAGAGCUCACCGACCAGCUAGACAAGCAGCAAUCACAGUCGUACCCUCUUACAACUCAGGAGCUGACCAACGGCAGCAGCCAGAAAGACCAGCAGACCAAGAAUGGCAGCUCUUCGGCCAAUGGCACCAAUGGUUGCUCCUCUAAUGGCUCAGUCUACCCUCUGCCCCCACCUCCUGACCUUGCUACACUGGAGCCCUCCAAGGAAGUGGUGGACAUGCGUUCCACCUACCAGAUAGAGAACUUUGCCCAAGCCUUCGGCUCCCAGUUCAAGUCUGGUCGCCGUACCCCGCUAGGUUAUGGUGGUGACCCGCGGGUAGGCAUAGUGGAAGUCGACCACAGAAUACAGCGGACUCCAGUGUCAGAAUUCUCAGGGUAUACUAGUCUGUUAGCAGACGUCAAUGAGCCAGCUAGCUCAGGAUCCAAAACCCCCACAAGCCAAAGCUACAGGUUUACACCAGUGUUCUGCUCUCAGCUGUGAAUACCACUGUCUUUCCAGUCCUUAGGGCAGAGCCUGCUACUGGCCUGAUGGCUUCACUGUGGCCAAUGACAGCUGGUCCUGUGUGGAUGAGGAAGAGUAUGGUGGAGAAAAUAUAACACUCCGAAAGGGAAUCUUGAGCAUAAUGAAUGUCAAGACCUAUUCAUCUGAUAUUCAGGACUUAUUCAAAAGCGGAUGCAACCUGAUUACAAACAGCUGCUGCAGUCACUUCUGUUUCCCUACACCUGCGUCCAACCAUGUGUUCGGCUGUCCCUAUGGCAGGAAGCUGCAGGAGGACCAGAGGGACCGUGUGAAGGAUGACUCUGAGCCCCACCAGAUAAUAGCUGUGAAGACUAUGCCUUUCCAUGUGAUAAGGGCCGCUGUGUAUCGAAUUCUUUCCGCUGUGAUGUGUGAGCAACUGCAUUGACAAGACAGAUGAAGCCAACUGCACAGACCCUGGGACAGCCUGCUCUCCAUAUGCCUUCACUUGUGGCAACAAGCACUGCAUCCCUGCUAGAUGGCUUUGUGAUGGGACUGAUGAGGAUAAUGGCCACACUCGUAGUCCAACCACCUGAACGUCAAACCUCUUCCCUUGCACCAAUGGAAACUAUAUCCCAAAAUCAUGGAUGUGCGAUGCCAUCAAUGACUGUGAUGAUGGUUCUGAUGAGAGAGAGUGAAUUUCUAGAUUCCACUAUCAUCACCUGCAGGCCGGGCUAUUUCCUAUGUCCAGAUCACCGCUGUAUUCAUGGCUCAUAUGUCUGUGAUGGAGACCAGGACUUUUUGGAUGGCUCUGAUGAUAAAGACUGUGAAUACUACUGUGGAAUGUACGAAUUUGCCUGUACCAGUGGAGACCAGUGUACGAGUCAGAGCUACUGCUGUGAUGGAGUUUAUGACUGCAGGGAUCACUCAGAUGAGAUUGGCUGUCAUAAUUUGUGUUGUUUACAAUACAUUUAACUUAGUGAUGGGAAGUCUGAUUCAUUUCCACAAACAGGUUCUUUUGGACAAUUCAUUUCAAUGAACCGGUUCAAUUAAUUUUAGCAUUUAUUUUACGUCAUCACGUAAUGAGGUCACUAGAAUGUUAUUCUAACAUACAAAGUAUUUUAAGUUUGCAUUCUUUUAGGUUUUAUUUUUCACAACCUCUUAUAUUUCUCAAUUUUGUUGCCAUGCCACAGUUUUAAUUAUUUUCAGAAAUAUCACAAAGUGUCAUUUUAUUUUGAUAAGGCAUUAAAUGCAAACGUCACUUUUCUGUUCUGAUCACUGAUCUGUAAGCCCCAAAUAACUUCAAACUUAAUAUCAAAUCUUACCUCGGUUUGUUAGCUUUUUAACUUGUUUUUGAGCUUGCUUGGUUAAAUAAUCCAAUUUUGUGUCAGAAAAAAUAUGACAAAAAAUCAUUAGCAAAAUAGGUUCUCAUCUAUUAAAGAUGAAAUGUUACACAUCAUUGUAAAGCUAGGAUUCUCUGUUUUCCCGUGACUCCUAGAUUGGGCUUCUAGACAUCUCAGAAGUUAAGAUAUUCAGCAAAAGAGAGUGAAAACUGUUAGCAUAAAAAUAAGACUUGUCUAUGGGUGACCGUGAGUGCUAAAAUGUGUUAGAGCACAACCUACAUUUUAGAUCAGUAUAACGUGAUGGAUGAUAGAGGGAAAGUUAUUUUGUUCUAGUACUUGCUGCCAUCCAGUGGAAUAAAAUAAAACUUGUUGCUCGAAAAUAGAGGACACAGAACUGAAAUGGCAUGCAUUUUCUUUUAGAAGAAGAAAAAAAUAUGUUGAUCAUAAAAUUGUAAACAUAUACAAUGUUAUUAUUAAUGAUUGUAAUAAUGUCUUAAUAUGUGGGGGUUAUCUGUAAAAUGAGACAAUUUUUAUGAAAUUUGUCCACUGUAUGUGUGAACGGAGCUUUUAAAUUUGAGUGGUAAAAGAGGUUAAGUCAGUGUCCAUUUCCUGUAUAGUGGGUUUACAGCUGUUUCAAAGUACUGUAGUAUUUAACCUGUCUAUGAAAAAAAAACGUGAUCGUUCUGUUUACCAUGAAACUAAAGUUAAAUCUUUUUCUCAGGGCUCUAUUUAUAGGAGUAAGACAAACAGGGCCAAUCAAACUUAAUUUGCACCAUCAUUGGCUCCCCCUCUUGUCUCGCAUUUGAUUGGAUAACACGAAUCAUGUACUACCCAAUCCCUCAACUAGUUAUCUGCCAUAAGUCUUGUAUUUUGAAACAUAUGACACCAAAACUUCCUUCUAAUGGCUAUUUCCUGAUCCCAACAGCUAUGUUCAUAUGGAUGGACAGAACAGACACAGGGCUAUAGCUUGCUCCAUGCCUCAUGCUUACGCUUUGACCCUGUUUGAAGAAUCUGUAUUCUGGACUGACUGGAACACCCACACUAUAGAGUGGGCCCACAAGUACACCGGUGCUGACCGUGCUGUCAUGGGCAACAACACACACUGCCCAAAUGACAUCCACAUCUACUAUCCUUACAGACAGCCAUGCAGUGAGAAUCCUUGCAAUGACCAUUUCCUAACCUGCAGUCACCUGUGUCUGAUUGGGCCAGGUGGCACAUCUGCUACAUGUGUGUGUCCAGGUCAUAGACUGUAAAAAAAGAUGGACGAUGCCCUUUCACUCUUUUCCAUUGGUGAGAACUGAAGCCUCCAGUGUCCCGAUAUGGCGCUGACAUCUUGGGACUUGAGUCUGCGCAGUUACGAUUUCGGGACCAGACCUGCGCAGUAGUGAGCAGGAAGUAAAGCCGCAAAAUCAAGGCCCCGCCCUCACUCUCGCUGGAUCAAUCGCAAGCACACGCCCCUGCACUUUUGACUUAUGAUGGUGUGAAAUUAUUAAUUAUAGAAAUUUAGAUAUUAAAUUUAAAGCUCCAAUCUCCUCAGUCCUCCGAAGAUCCCGUAAAAAAGUCAGUUGGUGCUUCAGUGACUACUUCGCUCAGAGAACCUGUCAAUCACAGCUGUCAAUCAUGAUGUCACAGCACCGUUUUUAUAGCAUCAAAUAACUAACUAAGAACAAACUUAUUUAGAAAAAAAACACUUGAAAUUACAUCAACAUGAUAGAAACUACAGUAAAUGACAGAAACUAUCUUUGGAAAAAAAAUGUGUGAAGUGUAAUUUAAUUGUUUAGUUGGUCUCAUGUCCCGUUGAAUAACAUUGGGAGGUGGAGUUUAUGACCUAUACUAGGACCAGUCACCGGGGGGCGAUCGAGACGUUUUGGCUUCACUUUUGAGGGCUUGUGCGGCACACUUGGUCCAGAUCACUUAAUUGGUCUGUCUAUUGGCUUUAAAGACUGCUCCAGCACUCAGUUCCACUGUGGUGGACUCCUUAUAAGCGCUCGCUCUAGCACCAUCUCUUCAAGUGCACAAAUUUGUCUCGACUCACGCCAAGGCAAGGAUUCAAUUCUCCCUUUUGAGUGGCAACGUGAGGAUGUCAUUCAAGAAGUGUGUAGCUCCAUGUAUGUGGCUUAAUGAUUUAUGUCAUCUUUAGAGAAUAUUUGAAUAUCUGAAGGCAAAAAAACUCAGUAGAACUCAAAUGGGUCACACAAGUUUUGUGGUUUAUGCCACGAUAGAGAGAAAUCUGAUUUAGUAGCUCAAGUGAUCCCGCUUUGCGCUGUGUCUCUGAGCCUGCUGGGCUUCCUCCUGGAAGAUCAUGUGAAACACAGCUGCCUCGUAAUUUUGCUUGGGCGGCCACCGAAAAAUUAUCAGUGCCUGAAAAACUCUGUUUCUUUUAUUGUCUCUCAAAUUUUUACUGGUUUAUCUUGUCUUCCAGUAUAUCACCCACCCCAAUAGUCCAAUUCAUCCAUUUCAAAAAUAAAUUAAUAAUUCAAAUGUUCAUUUUGUAAAGAAAUUCAUAGGUAGGGACAAUUUAAUUUGUCAACAAAACAAAUUUAAAGCAUUUAAGCACAAGCUUUUAAAUCAAAAGCUGUUUCAGAUUGAUUAAAGUUUGAUAAAAUAAAAGGCGUUUUACUCUACUUCUCAGUAAUUACACUUUGAAUUAAAUAAAUGAAAACUAUGUGAUAACCCCGAUGUGAUAACCACCGCUGUGUGCCCGGCCGAUGGCACUGUGAUGGGAACAAUGACUGUGGAGAUGGUUCUGUUGAGAGAAACUGUGGUGAGUUUUGCAUUUGGUCAUUCAGUAACUCUCAGGGACAUCUGGGGCUCUGCUCAUUUUAGAGCAAGGUGUAUUUAGUUCUUUGUCGCUAACAGCUUUGUCUGUGCGCUCACAGAACCCAGACCUUGCUCUGAGAGGGAGUAUCACUGUGACAACCAGCAGUGCAUUCCAAGAGUCUGGAUUUGUGACUAUGAAAACGACUGUGGGGACAAUUCCGAUGAGCGGAACUGUGGUAAAUUGAAGUCAACAUGAAAUCAAAAUUUACCCUGUUUACUUUCUCAGUACACUUUCCUGGUCUUAUUGUGUUUGAUUCAUCAGUAUAUGUUAUUCUAAAGAAAAACCGCGGGUGUCCAGCACACCAGUUCCAGUGUGACAACAAGCUGUGUGUGAACCAGCAGCGGGUGUGUGAUGACUUCAAAGACUGUGGAGACCACUCAGAUGAACAACUCAGCCUCUGCUGUAAAAUGAUAUUAGAAGAAAAAUAUGAAAUUAUACUAUUAUUCAUAAUUUUAAUCCCUACAUUUACAGUGGCCCUAAGAAGUAUUUGAACCCUUGCUAGGUAUGUUAAAAUGUCUUUGCAUUAUACAGUAUAACAAAUAUUAAACCAUGAGAUGUUUAUUUCUAAUAAGUCUUGCACAAACACACUUCUUAAGCAAAACGAUAGUAAAAUUAAUGUAAUGAAAGUGAUUUAAGUGUCCUAAAGUGUCCGAAAUGAUUUUGGGGCCAUUGUACAUUAAUAAUAAUAUUUGACUCUUUAGGAUACAUUAUUAGUUUAAGUUUAGUUGAAGGUCUUAAAAAAAUCUGAGCUCUUUAAAAAAAAAUGGAAGCACUGAAUUAUAGAAAUAUCCUUGUGUAUCAGGACCUGUUUUGUGAUCAGGGAACAUCACUUGUGAAAUGCCAGCCAUGUUCCGCUGUGACAAUGGCUACUGCAUUUAUAGUGGUCUCAUGUGCAACAUCUCUUUUUACAUCCACAGUUGCCAUUGUUCUUGGAGUAACAGCAGUUGUAGCUAUUUUCCUGGGAUUACUGAUAUAUUCUGCCCAUAAGAAAUAAAAAAUCAUGGAUGCUCUGCAUAACAUCAAUCUACAUCAAUCUACAUCAAUCUAGAUGCAUGAUUUCAUGCAUCUAACUUCAGUAGGCCCUGUUUCUGGAGUACAGUACAUCGAUAGAAGUGGAGGGAGCAGGAAGCAGUUUUGAAAACCCUGCAUACAGUGAUGAGGGAGAAACAAAGGGCUAUCCCGCCACCCCUGCGACUGUAGUGACUACAGUCAUCAUCGGGCCUGCCAUAGUGUGUUUGUUACUGCCCUCUAGUGGAAGAAACAUUGUACUGAAUUUAGUCUGUUUUGUAUAGUUCACCAAAAAAUUAUAUUCACCCUCAUAUCAUUAAAACCUGCAUUUUUUUGUUUUGUGUGCUGUGUUCCAUGUAUUCAACAGUUAUACAAGAGCUUUUUGUUUGUGGAAGAUUUUUAGUGAAUACAGUCACACAAAUCUAUCAUUUGGCUUCAGAAGUCUUGGAAUUUAGAAAAUUGACUAAUUAAAGGGGUCAUGACAUGGUUUUUUUUAUUGU